rnacentral:rRNA from 1 species
AGUUUGAUCCUGGCUCACGGAUGAACGCUGCGGCGUGCCUAACACAUGCAAGUCGAACGGACUUACACAGAAGCAGGAGAUGCUUGCAUUGACUAACGGAAGUGUAAGUUAGUGGCGGACGGGUGAGUAACGCGUGGGCGAACCUGCCCCAUACCGGGGGAGUAACACCUGGAAACAGGUGCUAAAACCGCAUAAGCGCACAGCUUCGCAUGAAGGUGUGUGAAAAACUCCGGUGGUAUGGGAUGGGCCCGCGUCUGAUUAGCUGGUUGCGGGGUAACGGCCCACCAAGGCGACGAUCAGUAGCCGGCCUGAGAGGGUGGACGGCCACAUUGGGACUGAGACACGGCCCAGACUCCUACGGGAGGCAGCAGUGGGGAAUUUUCCGCAAUGGGCGAAAGCCUGACGGAGCAAUGCCGCGUGGAGGUGGAAGGCCUACGGGUCGUCAACUUCUUUUCUCGGAGAAGAAACAAUGACGGUAUCUGAGGAAUAAGCAUCGGCUAACUCUGUG